rnacentral:rRNA from 1 species
GAUUUUAGUGCUUGCACUAAAUGAAACUAGAUACAAGCGAGCGGCGGACGGGUGAGUAACACGUGGGUAACCUGCCCAAGAGACUGGGAUAACACCUGGAAACAGAUGCUAAUACCGGAUAACAACACUAGACGCAUGUCUAGAGUUUGAAAGAUGGUUCUGCUAUCACUCUUGGAUGGACCUGCGGUGCAUUAGCUAGUUGGUAAGGUAACGGCUUACCAAGGCAAUGAUGCAUAGCCGAGUUGAGAGACUGAUCGGCCACAUUGGGACUGAGACACGGCCCAAACUCCUACGGGAGGCAGCAGUAGGGAAUCUUCCACAAUGGACGAAAGUCUGAUGGAGCAACGCCGCGUGAGUGAAGAAGGGUUUCGGCUCGUAAAGCUCUGUUGGUAGUGAAGAAAGAUAGAGGUAGUAACCGGCCUUUAUUUGACGGUAAUUACUUAGAAAGUCACGGCUAACUACGUGCCAGCAGCCGCGGUAAUACGUAGGUGGCAAGCGUUGUCCGGAUUUAUUGGGCGUAAAGCGAGUGCAGGCGGUUCAAUAAGUCUGAUGUGAAAGCCUUCGGCUCAACCGGAGAAUUGCAUCAGAAACUGUUGAACUUGAGUGCAGAAGAGGAGAGUGGAACUCCAUGUGUAGCGGUGGAAUGCGUAAAUAUAUGGAAGAACACCAGUGGCGAAGGCGGCUCUCUGGUCUGCAACUGACGCUG